AAAUUGAAGAGUUUGAUCAUGGCUCAGAUUGAACGCUGGCGGCAGGCCUAACACAUGCAAGUCGAACGGUAACAGGAAGCAGCUUGCUGCUUUGCUGACGAGUGGCGGACGGGUGAGUAAUGUCUGGGAAACUGCCUGAUGGAGGGGGAUAACUACUGGAAACGGUGGCUAAUACCGCAUAAUGUCGCAAGACCAAAGAGGGGGACCUUCGGGCCUCUUGCCAUCAGAUGUGCCCAGAUGGGAUUAGCUUGUUGGUGAGGUAACGGCUCACCAAGGCGACGAUCCCUAGCUGGUCUGAGAGGAUGACCAGCCACACUGGAACUGAGACACGGUCCAGACUCCUACGGGAGGCAGCAGUGGGGAAUAUUGCACAAUGGGCGCAAGCCUGAUGCAGCCAUGC
rnacentral:rRNA from 2 species